rnacentral:tRNA from 1 species
GCUCCAUUAGCUCAGUUGGAAGAGCACUCGACUUUUAAUCGAGGCGUCAUGGGUUCAAGUCCCAUAUGGGGCA